rnacentral:rRNA from 1 species
CUACACAUGCAGUCGACGGCAGCACAGGAGAGCUUGCUCUCUGGGUGGCGAGUGGCGGACGGGUGAGGAAUACAUCGGAAUCUACUUUUUCGUGGGGGAUAACGUAGGGAAACUUACGCUAAUACCGCAUACGACCUACGGGUGAAAGCCGGGGACCUUCGGGCCUGGCGCGGAUAAAUGAGCCGAUGUCCGAUUAGCUAGUUGGCGGGGUAAGAGCCCACCAAGGCGACGAUCGGUAGCUGGUCUGAGAGGAUGAUCAGCCACACUGGAACUGAGACACGGUCCAGACUCCUACGGGAGGCAGCAGUGGGGAAUAUUGGACAAUGGGCGCAAGCCUGAUCCAGCCAUACCGCGUGGGUGAAGAAGGCCUUCGGGUUGUAAAGCCCUUUUGUUGGGAAAGAAAAGCAGUCGGUUAAUACCCGAUUGUUCUGACGGUACCCAAAGAAUAAGCACCGGCUAACUUCGUGCCAGCAGCCGCGGUAAUACGAAGGGUGCAAGCGUUACUCGGAAUUACUGGGCGUAAAGCGUGCGUAGGUGGUUGUUUAAGUCU